CCUACGGGAGGCAGCAGUGGGGAAUAUUGCACAAUGGGGGAAACCCUGAUGCAGCGACGCCGCGUGAGUGAAGAAGUAUUUCGGUAUGUAAAGCUCUAUCAGCAGGGAAGAAAAUGACGGUACCUGAUUAAGAAGCACCGGCUAACUACGUGCCAGCAGCCGCGGUAAUACGUAGGGGGCAAGCGUUAUCCGGAUUUACUGGGUGUAAAGGGAGCGUAGACGGCAGCACAAGUCUGGAGUGAAAUGCCGGGGCUUAACCCCGGAACUGCUUUGGAAACGGGGCAGCUGGAGUGCAGGUGAGGUAAGUGGAAUUCCUAGUGUAGCGGUGAAAUGCGUAGAUAUUAGGAGGAACACCAGUGGCGAAGGCGGCUUACUGGACUGUAACUGACGUUGAGGCUCGAAAGCGUGGGGAGCAAACAGGAUUAGAUACCCUGGUAGUC
rnacentral:rRNA from 1 species